GAAUGCCUUCUGUUCUUAGGUUUAUAAGCUGAUCCAUCUUUUACUUGCUCAGACUGCCAGGGGCAGGCCUAACGGAGCUGGAGCCUGGAAUUCACUUGUAAGUAUUUAAAUUUAAAAAUUAAGUCCAAUCUUUUCUGUGAUUUUCAAAUGACAUUAACUGUCCCUUGUUAGUUCAUCUGUGGAAUUCCUCUGCAUUUCUACUGUACUGAAUGUCAUUCGCAGUGAAUUCUGGCAUGCAAGAAAGUGAAAUCAGAAAUGCACCUUUUGGUUACUACUAAUUACAAAAGUGACAGACCUCAGGGAAAAGAGACUCACACUUUAAUCAUCCUUCUCAAAUCAAGGGGGGCACUGAGCUGCAUUUUUAAAUCUCUGAUUCUAAAGACGCAUUAGUUAUACUCUCAUAGAUGACUGAGGUGUUCUCAAAACCCAGCGAAUCUUAACAAGGAAACCCUUUAAUGUAAUUGAAUAGAUAUGGUUUAUUAGCAAGGCGAUUGAAAACCAGUCAAUAACUAUGUUUUGAUGCUCAAGGAUUAAAAAAAAGUACUAAUUCCAAGGUAAAAUGUUCUGAAGAGCAGGGCCUGAAGAUAUUUUGUGCAAUAGUAUCUAUUUUGUGGCCAUUCCACUUGACCCUUCUAGAAAAUGUUUCCUUGGUCUAGACAUUUAUUAUCGGCCAUUAUUUCCAUCAUUUGAGUUUCUCAUAGUGGCUAUAAAUUUUCAAAUCAAAAUGCCCCCGGUUGUAUUUGUUCCUAUCAUUUCUAAUAUUCUUCAUGGUACUUUCUCAGCCAGUAGCGAAAUUUGUGUUACUCAUACCCAUUGUAUAAUCAUUUUUUGGUCGUUGCUUCUGAACUGGUAAUAAUAAAGCAUUUCUUAAUUUGUUAUUCUUCCUUCCCAUUUCCAACCUCCCAAGUUUUACUAGUACGUAAUUGCUACAUCAAUUUUUGUUGGGAGUAUUUUCAGGCCUUUUUCUCUGUUUGUAAAUAAGGCUGCGACAGAUUCACCUGUCUGAUAUCAAAGUCAUGUUUCUCAACAUUCCCAUCUUUGCUAUAUGCUUAGUCACAACUCCUGCCUUCCCUGUGUCCUUCAGAUGACUCUGUACUGUUUUUAUUCAUCAUGGCUGCUUCGGCUCCAUGGUUUGAAGGAACACAACAGAAAAUAAACCCAGUCACUCUGAGAAGUGAACAUCCUCUAAACCCCAAGAUCUCAGCAAGAUAAGCUACUCUCAUGGUACUAGUAUGAUUUUAUUCAUCUAUUUCAUCCAAUUUGCACUGAGGAGCAAGGUCAAGGCCUUGCUCUGUUUUUAAUCUCUGUUUUAAUCUCUGUUUUUAAUCUCUUUGUUCCAAUUUUUGAACAUGUUUUCUAAAAAGAAAAUUUUAAAACACUGCUAUUUAUUCUCUAAGCAAUCUCUAAUUAGGUAUUUAGCUCCUAUUAUAAAUGUGUUUGUUGCCACUUAAUUAAUUAAGAGCAAUACUAUGACAAUCUCUUUUGUUUCAAAAGACAUUAUUGAAAUAAAUCUCCUUGAUCAGUUGAUUGAUCAUUGUUAUCUUUUCCUUCUAUUCCUACAAAAAGUGCUUGCUUUAUUCUGCUUUUUAGCCUCUUAAUUUUUUUCCCCGUUUCUUUUUUCACGAUUUUCACUUCCCCCUGUGAAAUUAGCUCACAGUGUUGAAAUGUCUUCCUUGAACACAUAUUUUUACUUCCUCAUCUUCAUCUCUCUAUGGUGACCCAAGCUUUUCUAUUUUAAUUCAACAUUCAGUAAGUGUACAGGGUAUGGGAUCAACUACAUGGCUUUCAAACUGAAUAACUCAUUAUUGGGGCUGAAUCUGGAAAGAGGUUAAAAUAAAUAAAUCUUGUUUUAUAACCACCCAAUGCAUUCUGAAUCACCAUACUCCUAUGCUGUUUCUCCUAGUGUUCCACCUUGGAGUCUAAUACUAUCCUCCUUGGUAAUUUGGCAAGCCCUCUAAAUCUUCGCCAAACAGAAGCAAAUAGAGCAUAAAAUUAUCAUGGAGGCCAAAUAAGAAAAACCUAUCGAUGUUGGAAUUUAAGAAUAAAAAUUAGGAGUCUAACUCUCACCCCUCCCAUUUUUAACCCCUCCCAUUUUUAAAAUGCAGCAGAAAUCAAAGAUAUUUGGGUACUCAAAUAUCACCGUCAUGGCCUUUUAUUUAUCUAUAAAGUAUUUGGGGAGGGAGGGGCAAAAUUAAACCCAAGGAAAUUUUGUUAAUAUACAUCAUCCAAUUGACAAGCACACACAGUUAGGCUAGAUUAAAAAUUUUAAACUAAUGUAUCUGCAAAUUUGAUAUGGAUUUUUGCCACUGAUAGGCAAUAUAAGCAGGAUGAAAAAAUGUCUACCUUCAAACAGAGAAAAGCAACUGGACUGAAAAGCUAUAAACAAUAGGUAAAGGAACACAAACAUUUACAUUUUAACACAGACCAAACAGACAAGAAGGGACUUGCUGGCCAAACAUAUCUCAUAUUUUGUUUUACUUCUCUGUUUUUAAAGUAUCAGGAAGUUGGGCAAAAUAUCAACUCUCCUCUAUACUACAUAGUUCUCGCAAUACUGUUCUUGGCUAGCCUGUUCGCAGUCCAAACACGCAUUUCCAACCAAUCUUAAUUAGGUUGAAAUUACAGUUACAAUUCAUUUACUUCGAAUCCCUUAAUCUUCCAACGUUUGAAAGAAGGCUGUGGAGUGGAACAUAGAAUUCAACCAAGAUGACAUUUAAUGCAUAGCUGGGGACCAUGAUCUUGCCGCCAGAAACAUUACUUGUUUCUUUCUUUUUUUUUUUUUUUUUUUUUUUUAUGAAAAGCGUAUUACAAUCAGAAUCCAAGGUCUCUGAAUUUCUUUGCUGAAGGCAUGUUUAUGUCUUUGGACUCUGGUGUACCAGGGCCUAAACAAACUGUAAUAUUAUAGUAUUACAAAAUCUCUCCUAAGUCAUCCAAACAGCUUCGUAGGCUGCUUCUGUAAAUACUGGGUAGCACGUAGCAAGCUUAGGAUUUUUCUCGGUAGUAAAAAUAUAUACCUGUCCUGUGCUAAAAUAAAGGUCUUCCAUGGGAGGGAAAGGGGCAGAGAAUAGGAUGGGGUCCAGGAUGAACAACUAUGAUCACUUUAAUCUAUUUUAAAGAAACUUCAUAAUUUUGAAUGUCUACUUAGUUCUGAAGAUUAAAGCAGAGGAUUUGUACAUAGAAUUUCAGAGGACUUCUAAACAGGUCCAAAAGCACGGCAUUAUCAGAACAUUACCAAGAAGACCCACUGAAUCAGAACCGCUAUUGCACUUUGAGACGCUAAAGAUGGUCAGCUAAGCUCUGUCUGUCUAGGAUGAGCUUCAUCUUCCCUGGGCAGAGUGAUGUCAACGUUCACCCGAGAUGCUGGAGCCACACUUGGACUAAUGAAAAUUAGUCUUUAGUUGUCAUCCAAAUGAAACUGGGUGUUUUCCCGAGGUACAGCUAUCAACAGAAGGCACCAGAACAUUUCAAAAUGUAAGGCUGAAAAGGAAUCUAAGAGACCCUUGAGUCAAGAGAGAUGAACCAGAGCAUGGAGAAGUGCCAAAUUCCUUGAUCCUGGGGCUCAUCCUGGUGCCUUAGAGGAGACGAACGCAGGACAUGAGUCAGUGCUUGUCCUUGCCCUUUCUCUGCCAGGCUGAAGUUGCUGGAAAUGCAGAAGAGAGGCACGGCAGCUGGUCUUCAAGGGGCCUAGUGUGAGACAUCGCCUUUCCUGGUACUUCCUGGCCAGGCCCUAUUCGCUGCUGGUGCCACACCCUGAUCUCUCAGAAGUGCCCUAGUGUGGGAGGACAAAUUAUACGGUCACCCGAUCUGUGAGUGCUUCAGUACUAUCCCUAUAGCACAUCACGAGACUAAUAAGCUGAUGCCUUCAAAGAUGCCUGGUCUGGGCCAAGACACACACCAGAUCUCAAAGACUCACUGCAAAAGACAGAAUAUAAACUAUGCAUUCACAUCUUUGAAAUAGAACCCAUGUUAAAAUGAUAGUACUUGGCUGCAUUGGGUUAAAUAAAAAUAUUAGUAAAAUUAAUCUCCUACAUUUCUUUUCCUUAUUUUAUUGUGGCUACCAGAAAUUUUAACAUGGGGGUUUGCAUUAUGUUCUGCUGGACAGGAUACAAUGUCCUGGAAUUGGAGCCCUGUGAGCACUAAACCCAAAGUAGGUCACCGGACAGGUGCUGUGUGGCUACCGGAUUUUCUCCCAAGUUUUGGGGAAGAAGGUCCUACCUCCAUGGGACUGUGCUGUUAUGUCCUACACAGCUGGAUUUCCACUCCUAAUCCUGCCUGUAGCCCCAGCUUCCCUCCAGGGUGUACACUUACCUCUGUAUCUCACCUAAAAAUCAUCCCAUGGAUGUUCAAAAGGGACUUAAAUUCUAUGUGUUCAAAUAUUGCUCCCCAUCUCUCACCACUCAUUCUUCCCUUGCUCUUCCUUAUCAUCCUGGAUACCUGCCCUUGUGACCACCAGAUUCCAGGUGUUUUUAUCACUGGCCUUGACUCCUUCUUUCAGAGAAAAGGAAAAGGUCCUUGUCAGCCCCCUGGGGUGUAUCUCCCUCAUGCCUCUUCUCCGCUUUACUUCCACUGACCCAGUUGUGCCCAUUUUAUUCUUUAAUACUAUUGUAUCAACAUGCUCCAAGUUAAUCACCUUUCUUCUCUUCACACAGCCCCUCAACUUCGGAAAGGUCUUUUUAUAACCCAGAACUUUCACAUCCCAGCUUUAACAAUGUCCUUGAGCCUCUGUGCUGUCUGAUCUCUUCACUCCAGGAUUCAAAGCCCUUUUGAACUCAGUCUUGUUUUGUGGCUCCAGCUUUAUUUCCUGCUUUUUCCACCACUUCUCUUGUCUACUCCACCCUCCACUGCAUUCCAUGCUAUUUCUCUUGAUCAUAUGCUGUGCUCUUUCAGCUCUAAGUCUUUAACUGGUAGAGCUUCUUGGUGCUAAUGUCAUCUUACCUCCCUCAUCUGCUUUGAAAUGUUCUAUCUACCCUGAAGGCACAGUUAAAUCCACAGUUUCCAAAAGCUUUUCAGUCCCUUGCCCAGCCAGAACCAGUUCAUCUUCCCAGCUGUAAUAACACUUUCAACGUGGUGCCAUAUGACACAUGUUAGCUUCAUGUAUGUGAGCACUUCUUUUCUUGCCUAGUGGAGAACUUCUUUAAUGUUUUGUAGGUAUUUCUUCAUCUUUUGUCCCUCCUUCAUUCAUAGUAACUAGCACUGAUUUAUUUCAACAGUCACUUAGAAGGUGCUCCAUCUAUGAUGGGGAGUUGAGAAACAAUGACAAAGGUCAAUCUGGCAUGCACUUGGAAGGAUCAUUGUCCUGUCUUGUCUCAGCUCAGACCAGAAAGAAUCUCUUGAGGACUGAUGAGGAGGGAUCAGGAACAAUUAGAUCAUGUACAUCUGUAUAGGUUGAUUUUCCAGUUGUGGUACAUGGAAAUAUUAAUUGAAUAUGUACAAUGAAGAUAUUUAAUGUUCUGGUCAGUCAGCUGUGGUGAGCCCAGGACAUGCUGUAGCACUGUUGAUUCUGACACUCUAAACAUUUUGCCUUCAUCUCAGAUAGAACAGAUGCCCAGAGGUGGGCUUGGCUCUUCUAAGCACACUGACGAUGAAAUGGUCAUUGGGGUGAAGAAUAAGAAAUGCCUCUGGGAAGAUAAAAUUACACUUAUAUUAGGAUGUCAAGCAAGACCUUGCCUGAAAAAAACUACUGCUCCAGAGGGAAAAAAUCAAAGAAGAAAAGAAAACACAAUAAGAAAUGGAGACCCCGACUAUAAUGGAGAGGCUGAUGCUUGCCUUUCAGGGAUGCUGGUCGUGUGUGUUGAAUUACAGGCAAUUAUUGGUGGGCUCUCUGUUGGCCCUAAAGAAUUUGGAACCACACGUCAAAGGGAAACCUGAUCUCCCGGAGGGAAGUCUUGCCUCAUCUUUUAACCCUGUGCCAGCUUUGCUGGGUUUGAAUUUUUCCACGGUGCAUUUUAUUCUUGAAAUCUCACCAAUCACUGUUGGUAGAAAUUGAUGAGAAGAUAAAAGUCUCUAGCAGGUCACAUGGUUUUUAGGAGCCCAAACCGGGGUUGUGAAAAGGCUACAUAAUUUUGAGGGCUGACCAAAAUCUUGCUUAACGUCAUCUUCGUUGGUUAGUGGUCUAUCCGUGUGGAAGGAACUAAUAUUUUUGCACAAGCCAACCACAUGGUUUGCACCAACAUGAUCUUGAGGUGCUACAUGACUGUGGGGUUUGGUCUGAUUCUUCAAAGAACAAUUACAAUCGGGUCAAUGCAAUUUUAGUGUUAAUUACACUUCAUUAUAUUCCUGAUCCAUGACACA